rnacentral:lncRNA from 1 species
GGCAUUAGUGGACCCAAGCGACGAACAUAUCAAGCCAUUGCUUCUCGGUUCAAGACUAUCAACCAAUAGUGUUCUCUUUGGAAGGCAUGCUUGACUAAGGCCAAUACGAACCCACAAAGUGGCUCAAAUUUACAUGAUGUGGUAAGUAACCAUUCUUAUUAAAGCUUUAAAUUUAUAUUUGUAAUUUUAUUCAACUCCAAACUUAAAUUUAAUUUUUCAUGCGUAGGAUGUGUAUG